rnacentral:misc_RNA from 1 species
GAUGAAGAACGUAGCGAAAUGCGAUAAGUAAUGUGAAUUGCAGAAUUCAGUGAAUCAUCGAAUCUUUGAACGCACAUUGCGCCCGCCAGUAUUCUGGCGGGCAUGCCUGUUCGAGCGUCAUUUCAACCAUCAAGCCCCCGGCUUGUGUUGGGGACCUGCGGCUGCCGCAGGCCCUGAAAACCAGUGGCGGGCUCGCUAGUCACUCCGAGCGUAGUAAUACAUCUAGCUCAGGGCGUGCUGCGGGUUCCGGCCGUUAAAAGCCUUAUUUACCCAAGGUUGACCUCGGAUCAGGUAGGAAGACCCGCUGAACUUAAGCAUAUCAAUAAGCGGAGGA